GUUGCAUUUCAUUCCAUAGUUAUAGGGAUUUCAGGUGGCUCUCCACUUCCCUGUAACUGCUAAGGAACUGACUCCUGUGCCUUACUUUUAAGAAGAAAAUGUACAACUGCAAAGCACUGUGGUUGUCAAUGAGGCUGAACACAGAGACCCGGUGCAACAACUGUGCCUUCUUGAUUUCUAUGGAGCAACUCAAGAGUUUUCAAAACUCUAGAAUUCUGACCACCUAAGUUCCAUAAGAAAAUGAUGAGCUCUGAGCCAGCAUAAUUGGACCCCUCCCAGUAUGAGACACCAGCAGUUUGUGAGCUGGGCAUGCGACACCAUCAAGAGUCUGCACAAGUAACUGCAGUUUACAAACAGGAGUAAAGAGUGGAACUCUCAGCAUAUGUUUUGGAUUGUAUUUAGUAUUGUCAUUUACCAGGGCCAACCCAAUUCAUAAGAAUUCAUAGUAAAAGAACACAGUCCAGGUGCAAGAAAUACAGAAGAACAUCAAGACAAUAUGCUGUGAACAGCACUGUUUUGAUACUUAAAUAUCAGAGGUUUUAGGAGUUAUUCAUUGAAAAGAAUGAUCAGAGUAGAUUAGAGAAGUGAAAGGUAUUCUGCAACCCAUAACAGCAGUUGCUGCAGCCUUUCAUUAAGUCAUUUUCUAUUUUCCUUGAGUAGGAGCUAUGGAGUAUUUUGUAAAGUCGUACCUUUUAAAGUCCAGAAAAUAAUCAGUGAAGCAGGAUGCUUCUUCUCCUGGAAGAGAAAUUAAACUCACUCCAUGCUCUAAAAACUCAUCAACUCAUGGCUGAGCAACACAUUGUAGGGUUGAAUAUAAUGAGGUUGCUGUAUAAUGUCACAAUACAAAAAACUGGAACAGUGAAAAGAAAAUAAUAAUCCUUCUGCAUUCUGAUAUAACACAGCUCCCUUUCCCCCUACAAAAAAAGGUUCAGAAGAAAACUAGGAAACAGAUUCAGGCAUAGAAAUCUCUUAUAGUUCAUGUUAAUUAGCCAGUUUUCUGUCAAAAUAUAUGCAGAGAAACACUCAACUGAGAUUCUUCAGAGAUGAUCAGAAAUGAAUUGUAUAUGCUGUUGUAAGCCAGUCUUUUUCACUGUAAAUUAGCACAGCUCUAUAGAGAGCAAAAUCAUAUUUGAUUGCUCAGAAGUGACCACUAAUUAACAUUUCACUUGCAGUUUCAUUAGUUGCCUGCAACUCUUUGGCCUUAAAAACUCUACUGAAAGAGGAAUUAAACCUCACCUCGAAACGGUUACCAUCAGAUUUGGAGGCUGAGUCUGAUUAUUUAUUCAUAAUCCUAAAUUUUGUGCAGUCCUGAUUAUCGUCAAGGCUCAGGAUGAUGUUCUCUCAGCCUUAUGCAUCUGAUACACUUGGAGACUGACCACAAGAAUAACCAUAAAAGCAGGCAAUAAAAAUAACUUGGUAAACUGGUAGACUGCAAUAAAAAUAGAGAAGCAAGAGCAAAUAAGGGAACUUAACGGAUGACCCCACAAGCAAGAGCCAUUUUCCUUUUCAGAAAUCACUUUCAACUCUGCAAUUUAUGUUUGGCAACAUUUUCAUUAUCUGAAAAUUGAAGUUGCAUACUAGUUUAUAUCCCGUGUUUUUAGGGCUAAAGGAAAAAAAAGAACAACUAAUAUAUACUCAUGCUGAACUGAAGAGGGAAGCUGGUUAUCCCAAUCCUUUACUUCUGCUGUGUUUUCCCAGAACCUUGACAUAGACACUGCCUUCCUACACUGUGGCUUUCUGGUACAGCUAGAGCAUAGUUCGUUGCUGAUCUAUAUACCAUUUUAUAUCAGUUAAGAAGAUACAGCUUGUUCUGUGUUCUAAUAGGCAUCAGGCUGUGGACUGUGAAAGGCAAGAGUUCUCAUAAUGAAGCAGUACUAGUGACACAAAUCUUCUAAUCAGGCAUUUAGUAAUUUUGCUUUGCAGCUUGGAAAAUGUCUUUCAUUUAAAUUCACCUCAUAGGAGCUGUGUGUCAGGCAAUUAUUCUCUACCCGAAGAUUUCAAAGUCCAAGCAAAUUAAAUGGACUCUGUUCUUAAAGUAAUACUGCCCUCAAAGCAUUAUUACUGUUGUUAAGAAAUAAGAAACCUAAAGUCAAAAAAGGCAUCUGUUCUCUUGUACAAAUACAGGUACAAUUCCUACACAGGCUUUGGCAAUCAGAUGUGCAUAUUUACAGAUCUAAUGUAGAGUUUCUUUUGAUGAAUAUAACAACUGAACACUUACAAUUCUAUAAGAAUACACUGAAAAAGAGAACUGAGUUUCGUCUUCAGAACACUGAGGCUUCAGAAUUUGAUUCAAAAUAUGAUGGCCUACAGUGAUACUGGUUCUCAACCUGCCUAUACGUUAGCUAUGUAGAACUGAGUUUUUCCAGGAGUAGACUCUUAUGGAAGAAAAUAGCCUUACAAGACAUGCUGUCAUUGAGCAUUUGUCUUCCUUUGAGUCACUACUGGAUACAUGUUUUUCUGAAGUACAGUAAAACUCCACAUUGCUAAAUUUCAGUCUCUGAUUCCCUCCUAACUGAAGCAAAAAGUAAAUGGUUGAUUUCCAUAUAGAUGUUCAAAAAACUUGCUGCUAUUUACAAUCAGCUGCCCAAAUUUCAGGCCAUCUGGAAGUCUACAGAGGGACAUGAAAUACAAAUAAAUAGAAUUCUGGGGAAUUAUAGGCUGGCAUUCUAAAUUUGCUAAGAAGAACCACAGACAAACUAACAGCACAGCCCUGGAAAUAAGCAGAUGCAGUAUGACUCAAAGAGGUGAAGAAAAGUUUUUGACAAGAGAAGUAUACAUUCAAAGUGUUGUAAGAGAGAUGAGGCACAAAAAUCCUUUAAAACAGAACAGAGUCUAUAGAAAGAUCUUUUUAAAUCCUUGAAUUAGAAAUUGUUCUCCAAAGUACCUUCACUAGCAAUAUAGUUCCACUUAAAGAGCACGAAGAAAACAAUGUCCAAUUUGACUUGAGAGACCAUCGAAUUUCUGGGCCAGUUACUGGUAAAACAGAUCUAAGGCAAAUGAAAGCCAGCAAAAGAAAUCCACAUUCUAAUCAUGUAAAAAGUUACUAAAACACUACUUAAAAAUGACAACAUUUCCUCUCAUCCCAUAAAGAACUGCUGCCAUGAUCAGACAGGCUUUCAACACUGUAACACUGUGUUACUGUCAUCCUUUCUUGGUUAUGUUCACAAAAGCAAUAUGCUUGCAGCAGUUCCUACCGAGAACAUCCAAGUUGUUGGUUGUCAUACACUUCAGUAAAUCUCUCCUCCAUUUAUUUAUGUUAUUUCAACGCCCAUCCUGUGUAUCUAUUCAAUAAUGGAACACACAGAUUGCAAGUUGCUGCAGUCACUGUGGCUAUGAAAACCUAGGAUCCUAGGAUUGGUUAGACUAACUAACAUUUUUGGCUCAGUAUAUUUCUUCGUUGAUUUUUUUUCUGGAGAGCAAGAUUUACUUUUUUUUUUUUUUUAAUUUUAUAAAUUGUUUACAUUCUCAGCAAAAAUUGUACAACACUUGACAUAGUCAGUUUACCAAUAAUGUCAACUAGUCAUAACCUUUAGAUUACUUUUUUCACGUUUAACCAGUUGGCUAGUUUCAGCACCAUUUAUACUGUGUCAUUAAACUGAAAAAAGAUAAGGCAGUGGACAAACACAAAGGUAGUUAAAUACUACUUUCAUAGGACCCGAAGUAAUAUUUGCAAAAGCACCUCAGUGAUCUAAGAUCUAGAAUACAUAAUCUGUGAGGAAAGGUUGAAAGAAGAAUUAAGUCUAGAGAAAAAGGAUAUUAAAGGAUGGCAAUACAGCAACUGUCUUCAAAAACGCAAGUAAACAUUUCAUGAAGAAAAAAGGAUACAAUUAUUCUCCAUAUGUUUGCAGAAUAGGAAAAUAAACAAUGGGCUUAGGUUGCAACAAAACAAACAAAUGAAACUAAGAAAAAUACCAGUCCCACAAAAAGAGCUAGUGAGUACUGCAAUGAACAAGGCCAGGUAAUGCAGCCUCUAGAACUGCAAAUUUAAGAACUGGGAAGGCACAAGAAGACCACUUCAGACUCCUUCCACACCUAUUUUCUGAUGUUGCCGUUUCCCACUACAAUCAGUGGUAAUGAAGUUACCAAGCUUCAAAUUUCCAAAGAUAUGUUGGCAUAUGCAGGACAUAACGAUAAGAAGGUCAACUGGUGCUUCGGAAGAUUAUUCUUUGUACUUAUUGGUACGUAUCUUUUGGCACUUAAAAGCAUUCAGAACUAUCUAGAUCACUUUUAAAAGCAGAUUCCUGAGUAGUAGUAGGGUAAGUAGUAAUUAAAUUUUAUUUCAAGCAACUAUUCCUAGUGUACACAAAAAAGCAUCUAAUGAUGGUGGAGGUACUGUCCUAACUGUAGGAGAGGUCAAACCACUGUCAGAGACUGGGCACUGGAUCAGCUAGACUUUGGGUAGCUUUGGGUUUUACGCUCCGAUUUAAUCUUACAGUAGUUUUGCCUAAUGGGGAUACUCACAUGUCCUCACAAUAUUCUGUGAAGUUCAUCUAUUACAAGUCAGUAAGUUAUCAAGUACUCAGUCACUGCUUCCAAUUAAAUCUCUACUUAAAAGCAACACUUUUCUCUUAUUUUUCAUUCUUCUUGUUCUUUCUUUCAUUUCUUUUACUACAAACAAAAAAUAACGCAUUCAUUGUUAUUGAAUGAAACUCUUGUAUGCACAGUGACAUUGCAGCAGUACCUGUAAAUGAUUUAAAGAUACUUAAUAUAUUUUACUGUGUGCAAUGCCAUGGAGCCUUGACAUUCAUAUAUUAGUGCAAUGCGAAUAAACAGAAAUAUAUAACUAUGAUUAAAAUUGAAACACCAAACAAUGCAUUAUACAAAUAUAAAACGAAAACAUGGUUUAGGUAGAAAACAAGGACACGGAAAAAUCCAUCAAGAGUCAAAGAUAGGUGUACUUGAAGUCAUAAAAUUACCCUGUGUCAAAACUAAUUGAGAGAAGUACUUCAUCACUAAUGCAAUUGUGCUUUAAUAAUCGAGGUGGCAUCUACAUAAGCCUGUAAGAAAAACAACUUUAAAAGACAAAUGAAAACUUUUGAAGAGAUCAGGCUUAUUGUCUUGGCUAUUUGUGUUGUGCAUGAAGCUGAAAUAAUUGGACACAUCGUUUCAAAACAUUCACUUUCUGCUUGAGUGGAUAGGAAGACCUCCUGCAGUUCUGGGUAACCCACAGUCUGUUCUGGGGACCUUCAAAAUUCACCAGGUGGUCCCCUGAGAAACAUCCCACAUCAUAUGAUCUCAUAGCUCUUUUCUGCUCCAAAUUCAUACAGUCUGUCAAGGCUGUCAACGUGAAAGCCAUUUAGAUGUCUGGUUUUGCAUUUUCUACUCCAAAAUGUUCCAGACAUGAAUCCACUAUCUCCGAACAGAGGACUGGUCUGAGAAUUCUUCAGGACUUCAUUUUGAUUUUUACUAUGGAUUUAUCAAGAAGAAAAGGACUGCAAUGAAAUAGAAUAAAUUAUUUUAUUUCUCUGCCCCUGCCUAGUCUGAAUGACAGUCCUUUUGAGGUCAGUAUUGUUUAAGCCUGUAAAAUGAAAGUUCUACGAAUCACAAUCAAAUAACCAUCAGGCACCUUAUUAAAUUUCAUUCCACUCCAUAGAAAAUCUUAGGAGUCCAUUGCUAUCUUCCAAUUUAGACAAAGAUUAAAUGAAAGCUGAUCAAAGAGUUAUAGAAUUCUAAAGUUAUACUAAACACAAUGUGCUAUGCCUGGAAAGCUUUCUCUGGUGCAAUGAAGUUAGAAGUGUCUCGCCAUAAUGGUUUUAUAUAAGCACCACUUUUCACUGGAGGGAAAAAAAAAUUGCAGUCUACAAUCAGCUCAACUGAUUAUAAUUUCAUAUUUCACUGUCUAAAUCAAGUUUUCACUGACACAAGAAUUCAUACGUCCAGACAGAAGAAAGAAUAGUAACGAUGUCAACAAAAGAAGCAGCAGUGUUUUGCUUUUUUUUUAACAGAAAAAAAUGCCAAAAUUUCACUUUUAGUUUUCAGUCUAUCUGCUGUCAAAGAACUGCAGGUAAACUAAGAAUGCCUCCUAAGCACAGUUAUGUGUUGCCAGUUAUAACUAGCAUAUAACAUAUAUCAUAUAUAUAUAGUUAUAACAUGCUAGCUAUACUACUUAACUGUUUUCACCACUAUAACAUACUCAGCUUCUAUUCAUCUAUAGUGAUAAACUACAUGCAGAUGCUGCUGUACUCUAUUACAAAUAUUAAUAGGAUAAAAGUGAAAGAAAGCAACGGAAACAGAAAGGAUCAUGAAUAUGAAUAAGUUGCUUCAUUUUUUUUUUUCUUGUUGCAGAAAGAAAGGAACUCCUAGGGAGAGUAAUGGGCAGAAGAGACUGUCUUGUACAUCUGAAGAGAGAGCUCUUAAAAUUCUGUUCUCAAGACAGGCAGGUUCAUUACAAACUGUGCUUAUAAAGGGUUCCAGUAUUCAUCUAUAAUAGAAAUCAUACAUCUCAUAGAAUAACUUUACCCUACAGCUUAGAGGAAAUUUAAGACUCCAAAUAUAAACUCAGAAUUCCUCUGCAGCAGAACCUCCUGAGAGUCAAUGUACAACUAUAGCAGACAGUCUGAUUUCUGAAAAGGUUUUAAUAAUAUGUAACCAAGAGAACAUUUUCACUGUUUCGUAUAUGCGGUCUACUUUCUUCUGCCAGUGCUCUUUGCAACCUUGUUUGAAUACCUGCAGAAUUCUUUAUUAUUGAGGUGAUGCUCACUGCUUCUCUGCUGGUGACUAACUGUGCCCUUGAAAUCUGGAUAUGUGCUUAUUGAAAAACUAAAUACAGGACAAAGACACAAAACUCACAUCCUUCCAUACCUUCAAGACACUGGUGAAGCUUCACUGACCUCAGAUUGUGAAAGCAAAGGCAAAACUUGUGGCACAAAUGCCAAACAACAGUACUUGCAAAUCUUACAAGUUGCGGUAUUUUAAAAUUACUUUCAGAGCUACAAAAGAAUAUGAAGAAAGAUAAGUCUCCCACUGAUCUGCCAAAGAUUUUCUUUCCACCCACCCUCCCCUUAACACACGAUCUUCUUUCCAACAUAAAGUAUGUAAAUUGUAAGUAAUUCUGAAACAUGGUAAUUUCCAACUGUCAGAGCCACAGAAAUCUCUCCAUGAGCCUCUUCAGUGGGGUUUGUGUCUGAGGGAGUAGCUCCAUCUGAAUUCAGUACAACAUGGUGGCUUAAUAUUCCUCUUUUGGAACAUCUCCAAGUAACCAGUUAGAGACAAAUAGAAUUGAGGCAAAAAUUGGAAAAUACCAUCUUCCAACUCCUCAUUUUACGAGGAUGAAGUUCUUUUAUCAUUUGUUAUCUAUUUUAUCAUCUAUUAUCUAUCUUUAUCAUUUGUUAUCUAUUUUAUCAUCUAUUACCUAUCUAUUAACACAGGCAGUGUUUUAUCUCAUCAUCCUCUUUUGUCUGUGUGAAAAAAAUUAAAAAAGAACCUAUAUUUCCCCUUUGACUUUUCCUUGGCCUUGGGUAAAAUGAGGACUGUUACAACGCAACACCAGGAGACAAGGGUACAGAAAUUCCCAUUUAUAUUACAGUAAAGAAAAGCUUAUCCUUAAAACAGCACUCAGUAGCUGAAGAAAUAAUACACAGAGAAAAAGCCAGCUUCUCUUAUUCAGCUGGCUUCUUUCCUAAGAAAGAUGACCCUCCUAUAUCUAAGUUUCACCUAUCGUGUUCCUUGCAUAUUCUUUUAUAACAUACCUAACAGUAUAUGGAUAGGGUAAGUCAGUAGAGGGAGGACCAGGGAUACAAAAGUAAAGGUAGAUGAAUUCUACUUUGGCCUAAUUCAUAGGCACUAUAUAAAGCAUUUGCUCUCAGCUGUAUCACUGGUCAUGAACCCUUCUGUCGUGUUACUGUUAUUACUGCUUUUCCUUUCAAAGAAAUACCAUUUUACCACGUGAUUUCCCAGUUCCUACCUCAGCUCCAGAAAGAGCAUUCAGCAAAGCUCUUUACCUGUGUAAAGUUUAACCCUAUUAUACAAACCUCAGUCUGAGUUUCUGGAACAUUCAGAUGGCAAUGCUGGGAAUCUACUGAAGCAGGCCAAAUCAGUCUGAAAAUGGGCCUGAGUUCACAUAGGGACAGGCAGGAUUAAUCACAGUUAAUCUGCAGGGGUCAAACUCUGAUGGAGCAAUCUUUCUUUGUUUCAUCAACAAUGCCCACUAUUAGAUGUGCAUCUACCUUGAAAUUAAGACAGUGGAACCUAUGUGGAAAAGUUGGUAUUAACUCUUUAGCCAAAUUAAUAGCCUAGCACUCCAUGAAAUUGUAUAUGCUCUCAACCCAUGCUUUUUCAUGGCUGCUGAAUUUCCGAUCUCCCAUAGACAAUUUCUAUUUCUCUUCACUUUCAAAAGUAUUUCAUAUUUUUGAUGCUGAUUUUGUAUUUAGAAAUAAAAAUUGCCAGAAAAAAAUCUGAAAUGGAAAUUAAAAUGCAUAAACAACAUAUUCAUGUCCAUGAGAAAAACAAACCUAGUCUUGAAACUUGUACGUGACAGUGUACUUGACAAAAAACAUAACAGUUUUUUUAUGAUUUUCUGUCAAAAGUCAGUCGAACUAUAUUGUAAAAAGUAUAUGAUGAAUUUCUAAGUAAUUUUUCACCAAUCAACAGAAGGUAUUGCACUAUGCUAAAAGAAUACGAAAUGUGUUGUAGACAAAAGGCUUGAGUUUGAAGGUAUUGGCAUCAUGUUUUUGCUUUCCUGUUCAAAAGCAAAGCUGAAUAUUUUUUCAUUUAGCUACUUAUAAUCUGCAAAGCCAAUUGUAGCAACAUAGACAUUCUAUAAAUUAGUCACAUUUAGAAAACAGACUGCAAAAUUUUCUAAAAAACAGUUUGACGUAAGUGAAAAGACCUACCUUACGUCAACUGCUAAGUACUAGACAUGACGGAGCUAUUUUGUAUCCUUUUCUCAAAAGUUUAACAUAAUAUGGAUAGCUCAGCAAUUAUUUUCAAAUGAAAUUCCCAUUCUCUGAAUAUUUUGCUUUACGCAUACAAUCUUACAUCAACAUUUCUGCUCUGUAGGAGCUUUCUCUUAAAGGGAGUCCUGCUUUCUGCAUAGAAAUGUAACUUUUGAGCCUCUAUUCACAAAGUAAGAGCUUAUGCACAACAUCAAAAAUUCCAAGAACCAAAGAAUGUUUAAUAGAAAAUGGCAUCUAUAAAGGACAAAAAAAGCCAAGAUAGUCUCUUGGUAUCUGAAACGUGACAGACCCAUGGGCAGCUUCAAAGCUGCUAUGAUGAUGCAUCUGCCAAGCAGCCAGCUGCUCCUGCUAGACAUUUUUUUGUGUGUGUGUGACUUGGCAUUUAGGUCUUGUGCUUGCCAUUCAAAAGCAACAGAAGGAGUCAUAGGAUAUAGAACGGCUGUUACCCACUCAUAUAACAUCUGUAAAAAUUCUUGGGGAGGCAGCAGGUGCUGUGAAAAGCAACGUUUCUGCUCUGAAGCGCUGAUGCAAUAAUAUAGAGGGGGGAGUCCAAAAUGAAAAAUAAUUUUGUCACAAGAGCUCCUUUGUCCUUCAUAAAGUUUUAAUGAAGGAUCACAUAUUUCCUAGAUAUUUAUUUUAUGCUAUUACUUACCGUAUUAAAGUAAUUUUCUAUUUUCUAUUACAUUCUGUAAGACUAUUCCCAAAAGUUAGCCUCCUCUCUCAAGCCUUCAAGAAUUUUAUAUAAUAACAGUAAGCUUGUGUUGAUUGCUUAACCCUGUAAUUGAUUUCAGGUUUAAAAAUUAAUUCUUGUUUUCAUAUGUUCCUUGAAAGAGAAUAAAUUGCUGCUCAUCCUCUGUAAACUUAAGAGUAGUAGGAACCAUCAUGAUGGAAACAUUCAUUGUUCAUGGUAGAGCAUGGAUAGUCAGGCUUAAAAGUCUACAGAGCAGUGAUUGUAAUGUCUCAGUUCCAUUUCAAACCAAGUUUGUUCCCAGGCAAGUAGCAAUGAGAUGAACAGAAUAACACUUACUCCUUCUUGCAACUGCUUCCAUUUGAGCAAUCACUUCAUAUUCAAUCACGGAGCUAGUUUCCACGUCUAGAGGGCAGCCUGGCAUCAGUUUCUUUGAAUCAUUCAUAUAUCAUAACAUAUCCAAGAAUAUGGCAACAUUUAAACAAGACAGAUGAUUAAAAGAUAGUGAGAACCAUUCAUUAUGGAUUAAUCAGUAGAAUAAAAAGUUUUGGGAACAUUAGUGUUCCAGAAAUAUCAAUUAUAAACCUGUGUGAAGUAUUGAAAAUUAUCACAUUUAGUGAUAUUCUUUCAGUGCAAAAAAAAAACCCCAACAAAACAACACAAAACAAACAAAUAAAAACCCUAUGGAAACAUAUCAUAGUUUUAGGAAAAAUAUUUCAGAUUUUCUGAAAAAACAAAAACAAGUGUUCAUAAUCACACAUAGGGAACAGCACAGUUACAAAAGCUAAUAUUUAGUCUUAAUGUGGUCUUAUUAUAUUGCAUUAAAUCAUAGUAACAGCAACCAAGGUUCUUCAGCUUGUACAAAGCUGAAAAAGGAUCUAAAGAAAAACUAACGAAAACGUGAGAAGAAAGAUGAUGUACAGAAAUACACUGACAUAUUCACUGACUUUGUUAUAUCACCUGUGGAUUCUAUGAAAAGAUGAAGGGAAACUCAAAAUUAGUCACAUAUGUAUCGCAACGAUUAAUAUUAAUAUUAAAUAUUCCAGCAGUUGUGGAAAUAUUGCAACUCGCAAAAAAAAAAAAAAAAGAAAGAAAGAAAGAAAGAAAGAAAGAAAGAGAUAAGCAAGACGACAGUAUGCCAGCCUCGGUCUACAAUCAGAACAGAGAUUUUGUAUACAAAAAGGGGUUAGUGCUAUACCAAAUUUAGCAGCCUACAACGAUGAUAAGAGGAUCCCUUGGAAAACAUGAGACAUCACCCGGGAGACAGGCAGCCCUGACCAGCUGAGUUGCUCAGGCUGCUAGAUCUUCAAGUUAGUUUGAACAUCAACUCUGUAAGAUGCCAUUUUGAAGGUAAGCUCUUUGAGCUGUCAGCUCAGUUUCUAUAGUCAAAGGCAAUCUCAAAAGAAGUUCCACUAUGGUAGGCAUUUCCCUUAUGUUGAAUCUGCUGCAGCUAAAAAGAUGUGUUAAAAGGAUUGUGACACCUGGCAUGUUUCAAGUUUGCAUCAUCUCAUUGCCAGAAAGGUUGAAGAAAAACCCUGAAAUAUUUGUAUUUUGCAAGUACGCUGUGUUACUAGUAAACAAGAUGCUACAGCCUAAGAUACAGUUUCAAAGCAAAAUAACAUAUCAGAAGUAUGAUCCUAAAUAGCUGAGAAGAGGCAGCAGUUAAGACAACAGGUAAAUUACCUAAAGAGCAAUUGAAGAUUGGCAACCCUUCUUAAUAAAGAACAACCAAAAGAGAUCCCAUUCUCACCGCAUUCUUCUACUCUUUUGGAAUUUUGCUUUAUGAUUUGAAUGAAAUGACUUAAACCAAUAGAUAAGGCACUGUGCAUUUCAACCAUGGAUAUGUAUGCUGAAGUAAUGAGGAUGUCUGGUGAAUCUAUUUGUGUUCUGAGGCCUGAAUUUAUGGGAAGUUGUUACAUUCAUUGAAAUCACAAAGGGAAAGUAGUAGUAAAAAAUUGCUAUGACUGCAACAAAAAGUUUGCAAGAAGGGCAAAUAAGUCCCUCUGGAAGUUAUUCAGAUUAGCUUGCCCUCUUUUUGCAGAGUAGCAACUCAUUAACAAAUGAAAUUUUAUUAUUGUGACUACAGUAUUCUGCUUCUGUGUGUCUUGCAUGUUUCCUGAUCUCUUUUGACUCUGGUUCUGAAAUACAUUGUCAGGAACUGAAAUGAAGAAGUGUGUAAUCAGUUUAUUAUUUACUAUUAUUUUUUUCAUUAUUUUUAUUAUUAUUAUUAUAUUUUAUAUUUAUUUUUAUAUAUUACUUAUUAUUUAUUUUAUUAUUAUUUGCAUAUGGUGCAAACUAUUUCAUAUAUAUCUACUAUGAAGUGAUUCCAACAAAUCCACUAAACAAAAAAUGUACUCACAUCCUCUUGUCACUUGUCUGCAGUCUCAGCUCUCUAUUGAUAAACUGCCAUAUAAAGAAUUACCUAAUUAUCUGGCAUUUAAGCCAUAUCCUUCAUAAAGACAGGCAAAUUCUUAAAACCACUGCAUUUUGGUUAUGUAAAAGCUCUGAUUUGUACUUCAAAAAACUCUGCAGUUCAGCAGGACUGUGAUAUACAUGUGCAUGGGUUAAUAAAAGAAAUUUGCCCAGAACACACUUUUACCUCAGCCUCUGACUUCAUAAUCUGUUUCCCAAGAGCUUCCAUCAGUAUAAUUAAAUAUGUUCACAUUUAGAGCUAAGCCUGUUAUUAUGAGCUAAAGAUCUGGUUCAAUUUGCCUAUGUAGCCUCCUCACGUUUUAUCCUUCUUUUGGGAUACAUGACAAAUACAGAUGUCCUGCAUGAGAAAAAGUAUAUACAAUUCAAUACACCAACACUGUCAAUAUUGGCUACAGCUUACUAAUUAUCUUGAGAAAACUGAAUGAGCUAAUUAGCAGGGCACACAAAAUGGAAUAUCAUCAGUCAGUCAAUCAAUCCUAGCUUCCACUAACUGAAUGAGUAAUUCGCAUGCAUUCUGAGUGAGUGUCAACCUCUUGAGUUUUCCAAUGGACUAUCUUGCUCUCUUGCCAAAUCUUAAACUGAAAUCACUAAUCAAACGAGCUGGUUCAACUUCCUACUCAUAUUCCCAUAGAUAACUAGUGGUUACAUUCUGAGAAUGCUGGAACUGCAGCAGUUGCUUCAGACUGGUUUCUGUUCUCUUCACCGAGGAGAGCAAAUGACAACUUAAUUUUUUCUAGGUCCCAGGAGAUCACAACAGCCGUUUUGACCCCUAUUCAGGAAAGUAUUUAUUGAUUUAUAAAACACAUAGUAAUAAAAGAACCCUGCAAAAGGCACAAGUGACCUAAGGAAACAGUUUAAAAUGUUGUCUAAUCUUGGUUGAUUGGCAGAGACCCAGUACAUUCUGAGUGCGGUAAAGCUAGUUGUACUGAGACAUUUGGCUUUCUUGGAUUCCUCCAAACCAGUCUGCUGGUCCCCCAGCAUGCUUCCAGACCAUAGGGUGGAAAUCAUUCUAUAGAUAGGUAACACAAGAAAAAUAACAACCUUUGGAUCAUAGGCAGCCUCCAAUUAAUAUACUCAAAUAGGCUUUCAGUGCAAGGUUCACUGCCUAAACUUUAGCUCAUUUAUUUUAGUUCUUAAAGCCUUACAGGAAUGCCUAAGCUCUCUAAAGAGCUAAAGGUGUAAACAGUGACUUUCACUCAUGGCCUUAGCAUUUUCAGUGAUAGCAUGUAAUUGUUUAUGGCACUCUUUUAAUGACAAAAUAACAACAAAUACUCUGCCAAAGACAUGGGAGAAAGAUAAAACAUUCACGGUGCACGUGAGUCUUGUCAUUCUCUGAUUUUAGUUUUCCUCAUUCAGGUAGUUUAUUUCAGCUAAUAUCAGUCCUUAAUGCCCACGCAAUGCAAAAUCUCCCAUUACAUGUGCAUUCAGACAUCACAGUUGUAUUUGGGAAAUGAAUCAUUUAUAUUAGUUUAGACAACAACAUAUUCAGUGGGAGAGAAUGACUGAUCCAUACAAAUACUAUCUGGAACAAGAGUGCAUGAUGAAGCAUCUCUUAUUGAUUAGAAGAUUUGUUCUUGUUUAUGGUAUUUUACAACAUCCUUAAUCAAGUCUCUUCUAAAAGAUUCCAGCAAGAUUUAAGGAAAUUCUUGAUUUUGAUGAAUAGGCUGUCAAGCAAGGUUAGACAUACAAUGUUUUUAACCAUUAGCUGGAGCUUACAUUCUCAUUUCAGAGACAGAUGCAAGUCCAAAUGUGUAAUUAUGAACAAACAAACAAACAAAAAACCCACAUGUACUCCCUAAAAAAAUGAUAUAUUUGCUUUGAAAGUAUUGGCAUUCUACUCUUAAAAAAUGCUGUUACCAUCACAUGAAGUGAUUUCUUUCUGAGAUACUGUAUACACUUUGCAGCCAGUUCAUCACAGAUCUCUGUCUUUGUGAGCUAUAACACAGAUAUAUCUGUCUCCGCAACAAAUACAAGCACUGGAAAUCAUCUUCAAUGCACUUCCAACUUGAUGUCUUGCUUUGGCAGCCAUUUCAAAUUUUUCUCUUUAACAUUGAAAUGAACGGAAGCAUUGUAAAAGCCUAAGAGGAAAGUCUGAUACACAAGACCUCUCCUUCAUGAAAACAACGAAAUAAGUGAAAUUGUAAUGGGAUUCAAUGGGGAUGAGAAGUAACUGGAAAUUAGUUGCUAAUGAUUAUCAGCAUUUGUAUAAAUGAACAGUAAGCUGUACAGAGAUUCCAGAUGUCUGGCCUUGAAUCUCAAACCUCAAAUCAAAUACUUUAAGCUUGCAAUUGUUUCUCUUAGCCUAUAGCUUUCAUGAAGGGGAUAAAUGCACAUGAUGCUGGCAUAUACAUUUCAAAACUUUCCAAUAUGCAUCUUUAGGAUUAAAUACAAAUUUUUUUACAAAUGCUUCACUGCAACAAAGAUUACCUCCAAGUAAAUAUCCACUUUAAUAUGGUCACUUUUUCUUUUUACUUUUACAGAUAGUAUUUGGACUUUCUGGAAGACUACAAGACUCUAGUGCAGACAAACAAACAUUCAGGCAAUAAAAUACCAUCACUUCUUUUGUUCAUAAGAAGCCUUUUAUGUGGAAAAUAAAAAAUUAGCAUUAUCUUCUAAUACCUAUAGGAGGAUUUCAGCUGGCCCAAGUGAACAGAAUAAGCACUGCAUCACUGGUAUGUUAAAUUUUUAAAGUAUCAACCUUCUUUUGAUUUAGAACUGAUAUCCAGUUCAUCUUUUAUCUAACUUUUUCUGCAGGUGUAUGCUAAGCACGGAGCACAUAGACUUGAAAAAGCACUGAAAUGAAGCAGUGCUCAAAAUAAUGUGAAUGCUUCUUAUAAAGUUGGAGACUUGAUUUAUUAGAAAUGGUUCAAACAUUUUUCCUAAUUAUUGUGAGCAAAGUGCCUAACAAAACUAGAAAAAUGUCUCCAGUUUGGACUCCACUGAGACUAAUACUCAUCCUUCACACUUCAAAGGGCAAAGUUGGGUAGGAGAGAAGACAGAGCAUUGGUUUUAGUCUUAGUCAGAACACUAAAAAGGGCCAUUUAAUGUUAGUAUGUGAGCCAUAGCUAUGUUUUUCAAAUAAAAUUGAAAAUAAAUCUUGAAGUUGAGUUGAAAAAUCUUGCUAUUACCUCAUAACCAUAUUUCUCUUCACAUCUUAAGAGUCAGAGAGAUUCAGAAAUAUAUGCAACACUUUCCCUAGUACUUCAAGGAAGUUGUGCUUCCAUUUUUGAUAGAUAAAACAAGGCAUAGAGUCAAGAUUCAUCUCUGGAAAUGAAUCUAAAUCAGGGUUAGGAAUUUGAUGGUGGGCAUCAUAUUGCCCACCUUUAGAUUUCGAAAAGAGAGAUGCCUGAAGGUGACACACUGAUCUGUAGAUUUAGUUCAUAGAUAACAAUCUUGGCCUAUGUCUGACAAAUUUCAGAUCUCUCUUUUUAGCUUUUUUUUUUUUUUUCCUGCUGUGUUAGACAACUUACCCAUUCAAUGUAAUAUCUGUGCCAAUGGCCAUUCUGGGCUGCCUUAUUCUGUAUUUAUAUGUCAGGUUAUACACUGUAUUCUAGAAGCAAAUGCAACAUCAAAGUCUCUUUGGAGAUAUGUCUCAGAAUGAUUUGCCAACAGGCAUGAACCUAGCUAUUGUUAGCACCUAAAUUAGGAUUCUAGGAGAUCUGGCUUCCAGUUCAAACCACAAAAACGUGAGAGAUCUCUAGUGAGAGAUAUCUAAUGCUCAGAAAGCUAUAGAACCCUACACCUAAUUUAUAUAUACAGUCACUGUUAAGCCAUAUAUAAAAAUCAGCUAAACAUUACCUUAGCAACUCCAUGCUGAACAUGGUCCUGGUAUCAAAGCACACACAAGAAAAGAUAGUACCUUCUUUCCCACUGUUCAUGAUUUGAUUUCCACAUAAAACCUACCGGGUAUGACAGAAACCAAACUUCAUGAAGUUAACCCUUUAUACAUUUUUUCUUGGUUGUUUAUCUCAACUAUUUAACAAUGUGACCAAUCCUGACAACUUUAUAUUAGUGUAUUAAAAGCUGCUCACUUCCCAAUUUCAUUUAGCCUAGGUUGAAGUCAAGACUUCAAAAGUACAUUUCUUUCCAAAUGCACAAAUAAUCUUGGGUCAAAUGAAAAGCAACGUUGAUAAACCUCUUUUGCUACUGCAGCAGACCAAUGAAAAACAAUAUCUGUGGUAUAGCUGGAAUUCUCUCAAAUACCUGUAAGAUAAGACCACUGUCAUUACAACAGGCUGAAGGUUUAAGAAGUGGUCAAAGAAGGGAGUCCUGUAGAGAUGGGAUGGUGUUGAUCUGUCCAAAACUCCCCUUAUUGCUGCAGAAGUUUUGACUACAAACUUGUUUAUUGCAAACUUGUUGACAAACAGACUUGCGUCUAGCAGGCAUAAAAGUAUGCUCUAGUGAAGCUUGGUAGGGGCUCUGAGACUUUGAAACUUUGGGGUCAGCGCUCUCACAGACCAAGUAUCCCCAUUGACUGGACCAAUGCUGGAAACAAACCAGUGAUCUCAUUCUUGGUCUGUCUCUCAAUCUCUCAUUCUUUCUUUUUCCCUCAUAAAGUUUUUAAGAGUCACAUAGUUUAGCUGCACAGCUUAGGUAGAUAUAACUGUAAGAGUGCCAAUACUUUUAAGAUAAUUGUAGUACAGAAAUUUCUCAUUAAAAUUGAUGAUUAUAUUUGGACUUUGAGCAUCAGUUUCACCUUAAUCUAACCAGGGGAGAUUUACAAAUUUGGUCACCUCUCCCUCCCUUCACGAGCAGAAUGUGACAGCUUUUGAAAUUAGAGAGCACUUACUCUAAAGCAUGUCUUCUGACUUAGCCUUCUGUGACAUGAACAGUAUGGUAAACAUUUUAAUUUGGGACUUUGAUAGAAGGAAUGACACGAAAGUGUAAAACUGUUUUUGUCAUCCUGCCAGUGGUGUAUGAAGAAAAUACUUUGUCUGAAAGCAAACAAGGAAGGAUUUGGAAGUGCAAGUAACAAGGCUGGAGAUGUGUUACAGGUCAAGCUAGUAGGUCAUUGACAGAACUUGACAUUUCUCUUCUAUUCCUUAUCUCGAUGAAAAAACCCAAAGUUUAAUAGAUCAUUACACAAAGAAAGCACUAUUGCCAAUACUAGUAUUGAUACUAAAAAUCUUGUUUUGACAUCUAGAGUGGUCUUGCUAUCAACACGAUUAAUCACCAACAGCUAGUCAACUUGGCAACAUUAGCAGUAAUUUAACAAAGUUUACCAACUUAUCUUUUAACUUGCCUGCAUGGCCAGUGCAACUCAUUAACAAAAAUAUUAAAAAUGUUUUGAUGAUAUGUUUUCAUGUCGUAUUUUUCUUUUUCUUUUUCCUUGACUAGUUAAGAGCAAAUAUAACCGUCAAUAGAUAUGCAUUUGUGAGAAAGCUGCAGGAAGUCAGGUAGAAAAUGACUAACAAGGAAGACUUAUGACACCAGUAACAUCAAAAUGUAUAAUAAAUUUCAGAACUAUUUGAUCAAGCUUUGCAUUCAUACAUGUAUGUGUACAUCUACCAGCCACACUUAUGGCUGUAACUUAUCAUUAUGUUUAAGUGUUAAAAUACUGUGGAAAAUUCCUUUGGGCAGUAAAAUUUUGAACUUUUUGCUGUACUGAUGUUGCUGCAGAAGUCAUUUUAAGUUUUGGGAACUAUGUACACCAAACGUAGGUGUACACACAGUGUAGGUCUGAAGACAAUCUUGAAAGUGAUUAGGGUACUCCUGAUUCUGAAAAAACUAAGAUAACUUCAUUGAAGAACAUCUGGCAAUCUAAUACAUUUUUGUUAGUGAACAAGCAGUAGAUAGGUUUCAAUUUUUACAGAUGUGUAAUUAUCCAAAAUUCUUUGGUGAAAGCCUAUAGCUUGCUUGUGAAUUAGUACAUUGGACUUUUUUAAAGUGAUGAGCCUUUUAUUAUUCAUUCUGUGUUGUAACUGAAGAUGGCAACAUUUUAUAAUCACAGAACCAUAGAAUGGCUUGGUUUGGAAGGGACAUUAAAGACCUUCUAGUUCCAACCCCCUGCCUUGGGCAGGGUUGUCAGCCACUAGAUCUGGCUGCACAAGGACCCAUGAAGCUUGGCCAUGAAUGCCUCCAGGGAUGGGGCAAACACAGCUUCUCUGGGCAGCCUAUAUCAAUGCCUUACCACCCUCUGAGUGAAGAAUUUCUUCUUAACAUCUAAACUUAAAAAUAAAUUUCCAAUUCUGAUUUGCUAGUCUUUACCACUCCCCAAACAAUGAAAAUGUAUUUCUGCUGACAUAGCAUGGAUUUGUAUCUAUUUAGCUAAGCAAUAUCGCUUUGGGUUCAAGUAGUAGGUCCUUGCUUUGGCAUUUUAAAACUCUGUUCUGUCCUACAUUAGAAUAACUCAAGUUCUGUGUCAAUAAAUUCAAAUGUCAUCAAAACUAGAUAUACUUAAACAUUUCAGUGAACAAAUGUCUUCUCUCCACACUCCUACCCUCUUCACCUUUCCUACAAUUAUGAUUUUAAGCAGAAAUUUGUUAGCAUGUUAAUUCUUAGAAAGUUAAUGAAAGGCUUACAUGCACAGAGGGAUUUUACUGUUUUUAUUCAUAGAGCACCCUCUGCCUCAGUUCAGUUAUGAUUUAUCUUGUUCAGUAUUAAGACAUAUUAGCUGCGUAAUACUACAAACACCACUCCUGUUUUAGGAAACAACUGAUAACUUCAUACAGUAGAAUUCUCAGUCCUCCCUAACUAAAUUUAUCUGUGAGCACAUGCAAGUACAAGCCCAUAGCACACCUACAGAUUCACUCACGUUAAAUAUCUGGAUAAUUCAAAACGUAAUCUAUAUUUCCAGUAUUUGUUCAGAAUAUUAUUUUAUUAGCACAACAAAGGCAUCAAUAGCCAGUUCAGCUUUAAGCCAGAUAAUAAAUGUACAAAAUAUCUACAAUAUUUUCAUACUUUCACAUAAAGAUUUUCUUUACUUCAUGGUACAUUUGCUGUAGCACAUGGAUUAAGAUGGGAACUAAAUAAUUUCACUGACCAUAUCACGUUUUGCAAACCCUGAGCUGAUGGUGUUUAGAACUCUCAUUUAAAAAAAAAUAAAUUAAACAUCCUGCUUAAGCACAGAUUUGUAUCAUUCUAAAUGUUGUGUUUGGAAACUAGCAGAAAAAAUAUUUGAGAUUUAAGUUUCUGUUGAAGGAAAAGGUCUUCCAAGUACAUAGCAAGUUUCUGGCUAGUUUCUGGGUUGGGCUUAUCAUAAACUUUCCCCUGUGGCAAAGUCAUCCAGUUCUGGACAUUUUUUUCUUUAUUUUCCCCAGAUUUUUUUUCUUUUCUUUUUUAAAAACACAGAUUUGUCCAAAGCAAUAAUUAGCACACAGUUCUUUAGUACUAAACGCACGAAAAUUCAAGCAUAUUUUUAUCAAAUAUACACAUCUGGCAAUGCUGUAUGUUAUUUAUGGUCUUUUUUGAUAAAAGCAUAAUUGAUUCAAAUGGGUGAUUCAAAAAUGUAAUUUACAGUCUAGCAUCUUGAUUCUAAAGUUUUAUUUUAAUAACAGCCACCAAGACAGUAAUCAAAUUAUUGGUGAGGCAAAGCUCACAAUUCCACAGAAUUUUUAUGUCUUCAUGCAUUAGAGUGAAGUUCUUGCUUAUCCCUGUCCUUUAUCUGUGUAAAGGGGGAUAUUUACUCCAACUGUGCAUUUUCCAUUCAUUGCAUGAUUCACUGAAUCACAAAAGAAAUACAAAGUUGAUCAACAAGCAAGCAUAAUUAUAAACUAUUAAGUUACUUUCCUCCAUUUUUAUUGCAGCCUUCUUUUUAGCCUGCUUCUGAAUCUGAAGAACAAAUUUCUGCUCUGCAUGGUGUUUUCUUGCCUUCUUUUAAGUCCCUUAAUAUGCCAGACCUCUCUUUUUCAGUCAUAUAAUUACAAUGAUUAGACUUUUUUUCUUUCCAUUCUGACUCUCGGGAACACAGAACUGUAUGUAACCUUUCAGUAUUGCUUUUAGGAAAACAAAGGCAGUUAAUACAUUUGUAAGGAAAAUUACAAAUGAAAGAACUCUGUGUACUUUAGGCAUCAGUUCAAGUUUUCUUUCUAAUAGUGUUCAGAAUGAUACUUAGGUGACACAUUUGGAAUCACAUAUUGCAGAAAAUAUAGUGGACAUCUGAAAAGAUCAGUUUUGUUACUAAGGUAUGUUGCCAUGGAUUGUUUACAAAUAUCCAGAUGUUCUUGAGUUUACCAUGAGCUUGAUUUGAAAGCCCAAGGCCACAUGUGUACUUUGUUCCUGUUUCUCUCUGUUCUCUAUAAUACGUACUCUAAAAACAGGCUGUAAUUUAGCAAAAAAACAACAACAACAACAAAAACCCCUAACCAACGACAACAACAAAACACCAUGAAAUUAAGAACUAUACAGGUAAAGAAAAUGUAUAUUUGAUCUUGCCAGCUAUAAAAGUCGUCCAUGUUUAUUGUUUUCUUUAUACAUUCUCAGAAAGAGAUUACAUAAACGCUGGACAAGAACAAAAAUGAUGCUGCAUACAGGUUUAAGUCUAGUUCAUGCUAUACCUAAGCACAUUUAUGCACAGUGGUCUGGCCAAAAUAAACAAAAACAGAACCAAGACAGUUGGAACAAAGUUGAAUAAUACAGCAAGUUCAUGACCUACUUUAAGAAAAAAUUGCCUACUACUUUCACAGAUGUUCACUGCUGUGAACUGGGCACGCUAUUCCAGCAUAUGAUUUCUAUUUCCUUCUAAUCUAAAUUAUAAUUUUAAAAAUUAAAAAAAUGAAAGAAAUCCAUUAAUUUCUGAACAAGUUCGUCUCCAAUUUGAAGUAAUGAGUUGUAAAACUGAUGCAAAAAUAAAAAGCAUUUCCAUUUCAAAAUGGAAAAUCAUACUCUUUCACUCUACAAACAAUGAAAUAGAAUACCCCCGCCACCUCGUUGGAAAGUGAUACUGGCAGCUGUGUCUCUUGUAGUGAAUGAAAGUAAGAAAUGAUCUUCAUAUUUACAUUUUACAUUGACUCCAGUAAAAUAUUUUAAAAUCAGAAAAUAGUAUAGAGUGGACAAGGAUUUUCCACUGAUCCUUUCCCACAGUAAGCUUGUCCAGUAGUAGAUGUCAUUAAGAUGCAUUUCAUUUCACUGCAGUUGGCAAUAAAGUAACACUUACACAGAAAUUAGUUCUAAAAUAUGAUAAUUAAUAAGUAACAGCUUAGUGGUUUCUAAGUUCUUCUGGAUUGUGAAAUAUUAUUGGUCCAGUCAGUGGACAUUUGUCCCAUUAAAAUACAUUUUAUGUGUAUAUUGAAAAUAAAGUUUCCUUACUCUUUCCUUCAUCAUUGUAUUCUUGAGAAAUUUUGUAUCCCAGUAGUUUUGCCUCAAAUUACUGCCUGAGCACAAAUCCCCAGGUUCUCUGUUUUCAGUCCCAGUUUAUUCUUGUUAUCUCCUUUACUAUUUCAGACAAUUUAAUCCUCUUUGCCAACAGCAGCAAGGAAUGUAAGGCUUCUAGAUGGCUCUAAAAUAAUAUUACUUUCAUCUUCUAUGCUUGUCUCCAUAUUCAAGACACUUUUAUUAAAUAACUCCCCAGCACAAGCUCUACAAUACAUCACGGAACAGAUGUUUUGAGUGUCAGUACAACAGUUAUUGGGGUAUUCUAUUUAUUUUAAUGGGACCCUGGAUCCCUGUAAAUGCAAGGAAUAUUCACAAAUUUACAUAAGAUUUUAUAAUGCAUUUCAAUGAGAAACCAGCAGAGAUUCAGCUCUUCCACACUCAUGUAAUAAAGAAAUGUUUAAGCCCAGAAUCUAGAGACACAACAGAAUGAUUCAGCCAUAUGAGAAGAGAUAAGAGACUUAACUUCUCAGGAGAGCCACACAAUUUGAUGUGGUUUUAAAACAAACUUUUACUAUUAAGAAUUCUUGUCAGAAAUCAUUUACCUCAUUCCCUUCAGAAAGGAAAGAUAAAAAUAGCUGACCAUUCCUAUUUUCCUGGAAUGGUCCCUAUGCUCUCAUUUUUGUAUGUUCUUUCCCUCCUUUAGCCUGAAAAUUGCAACCCAUACGUACUGAGUUAACAAGAUAAAGGGACAGAAUUUUAGCAGAAGAAAUAAGUGCAAUGGUUAAAAUACUCAAAGGCAUGAUGGUAGAAGAAAAUAUGACUCAGCAUGCAUUGUACACAGAGAUCCUAAGGUCUUACUGAGACAAACUCCUAUAAAGCUGAGAGGGAAGUAAAUAUUUAAGAAUACAGUACUUUGCUCCAAAGAGAGGCUAAUGUGAAAAAUUCCUACCAUGUUUCAAACACACAGUACUGCUCCUAAAACACCAUUUCCUCUAAUACUAACUACUGUUGCCAUCGGUGCCUUCUGGUCUUGUACAUACUGUGGUAUGUACAAACAGUACUUCCUUCAUCUUUGCCUUCACUCAGUAGGAAAAAUCUAAACUUCAGACAUAUCAUGUCUACUUCAAAAGAAGUUAACUUACCAUUAAAGAUGCAGUCCUGCCUCGUUCAUCUUCUUGUUCCUUCUUCUCAAUCCUACCAAAUAAGCACUCAUGCAAACCUGGGCCAGAUUAAGGAGUUGAUUUUUCUGAAAAUAAAAAAAUAUCUUUUAUUUGAAUUAUGAUAUGGCUGCAUUAAUUAAUUUAUUCCAGCAGAAGAAAAGCCCCUGAGAAUGAGAGGAAUGAGGAAGGAAAUAGUUAGAUUUUUUCUUUCAGUUGUGGCAUGGAUUUAAGUCAGACUAAAGUGGCUGUAUAAACAUGGACUUGUACAGAAGGUGAAAAGAGGCCAUCAGAGUGGGUCUUGGGCCUUCAUAGGAUGGCUCUGACAAGAGGGCUCACUCAAAUAAUUGUUUUCAGUUACUCUUGGUAAAAAAAAAAAAAGAAAAAAAUACAGGUGGGAAGGAGAGAACAUUUAUUUUACACAUUUAUCAGUUGUUGAUCAGCACCUACACUAUUGAAACCCCUAGCCCUCCUGGUCCUCCAAGUCAUAUAAAACCAAAUAGUCCCUUUCCUUCUUCCCUCCUACCUUUUUCUAUUUUCCUCUCCUAUGUAUCAUAGAGACUCUCCUACAAUGAUUUAACAGGAAGAACCUCAGAGGUAAUACUUCCUAUAUCACAUGAGCACAGAAG
ensembl:lncRNA